rnacentral:rRNA from 1 species
UAGGGAAUAUUGGACAAUGGGUGAGAGCCUGAUCCAGCCAUGCCGCGUGCAGGAAGAAGGCGUUAUGCGUUGUAAACUGCUUUUUGCCAGGGGAUAAAAUGACCGUGCGCGGUUAAUUGAAGGUACCUGGUGAAUAAGCCACGGCUAACUACGUGCCAGCAGCCGCGGUAAUACGUAGGUGGCAAGCGUUGUCCGGAUUUAUUGGGUUUAAAGGGUGCGUAGGUGGCCCUGUAAGUCAGUGGUGAAAUAUCUCAGCUUAACUGAGAGGGUGCCAUUGAUACUGCAGGGCUUGAGUACAGAUGAGGUAGGCGGAAUUGCGAGUGUAGAGGUGAAAUUCGUAGAUAUUCGCAGGAACACCAGUGGCGAAGGCGACUUGCUGGACUUAUGGUGACGCUGAGACGCGAAAGCGUGGGGAGCAAACAGGAUUAGAUACCCAUGUAGUCCCUGAGCGGGCUGGCAAGGCGCAU